ensembl:lncRNA
GCCGGAAACAAUGGUUUAAAGUAAAACGUCUUAAUGAUGGAUUUGUUUUUCAGAAACAUGCAAUUUUUCACUUAAAAAUACAUUAAUCGAUAGACUGGAGUUAUGUGGAUUACUUGUGGAUUAUUUUGACAUUUUUAUCAGCUGUUUGGACUCAUUCACUGCAGAGGAUCCACUGAUGAACAAGUGAUGGAAUGCUGCAUUUCUCCAAGUCUGUUCUUAUCUACAUAUUGGAUGACCUGAGGGUCAUCCCUCAUUAAGAUCAGAGGCGCGGGCUGUGAAACAGCUCUGUGUUAAUUUGGUGUCCUCUUUGUAAGAACAAAGUCGUCCUGCGGUCAGGUUAGUCAGAGGACAAUCAAACCCGGGCGAUGAUGUGGUGAAACCAUCCCUGUAGGCGGACACCAUCAGGAGCCAUGACAGAGAACCAGAAAAAAAAGACACAUCGAAUGAGAACCGGCUGUGAAAAUCAACUGAAGAGCCCAGCGAUCUGUCAGAGAGGCAAGUGCAAGAGAUAACACAACAUAAUCACUUGUGUCUUUAUAACCAACAAAGUCACGGCAGACGCUGGCUGCCACACAAUUAGUGAUGACAGAGAAACGGCGGCGGUUAUGCAAUGCUUUUUAUGUAAGAUUACAUCCUGAUGGAUGAACUGAUCCAGUUCCAGACAGUGAAACUAAUUGCUGUGAAAUUUUAAAGCCUUCUGUUGAUAAUGGACUGUUUUUUUUUUUGUUGUUGUUGUUCUGUUACUAUUAUUAUUAUUAUUAUCAUUUUGAAUGAUUAAUUAGUGCUGUUAGCAAAGGCAAGAUCAACCCAAUCCAGGAGGAGACUAGAACAUCAUAGAGGAGAGGAUAGCAACCAUAUAAUACCCUAGCAACAGCAUAAACAUUAAAAAGCACCUUAGCGGCUACAUAGCAACUCCUUGGCAACCUCCUAGAACACCCUGACCUACUCAGCAAUAUCCUAGUAACCAAAUAGCAACAUAUUAAACAUUAAGAACACUUAAGGACCUACAUAGCAACACCCUGGACACCUUCCAGAACCCCCUAACCCACUUAGCAACACUCUAGCAACCACAGAGAAAUGUGAUAAACAUUCAGAACACUUUAACAACUGCAUAGACACACUCUGGCAACCUUCCAGAAAACCCUAACACUUAAAAAAAACCCUUAGCAACCAUAUGGCGACCUGCUAAACAUUUAGAACACUUUAGCAACUGCAUAGCAACACCCUGACAACCACCCAUAACACCAUAAUAGGCAGUGAAGAAAAUUCACAGACAAUUUUCAAG